rnacentral:ncRNA from 14 species
ACAUGGCAUCGAUGGACUGGGUUCGUUCUGAGAUUAUACGGCUAAAACUUGAUCUGGAUAAUACCAGCGAAAAGGGUCAUGCCUUCUCUCGUUC